GCCCGGGUGGCGGAACUGGCAGACGCGCACGACUCAAAAUCGUGUAUCGCAAGAUGUGUGGGUUCGACCCCCACCCCGGGCA
rnacentral:tRNA from 1 species